UUCGAGCUCGGCGUCUCGAACACUCUGUGUGCAUUUGAAUUCUGAAUAAUGGAUUAGGUUUCGAUCAUUCUUUGCUUGCCUUAUGAUCUUGUGACGUGAACUUGCAACAUUGUCCACGCAUUUUUUAUCAUGUUCUCCAAGGCUUUUUUUUUAACAUGCAAGGCAAACGACAGUGUUAGGAAAGAGAAACAACUGCGAAAAUGUCGCCGUGUACUCGCACAGCAAAAACUUUUUCCUCUUUCAGUGAUCUAUAUUUGUUUGCAUAUGAGCUUCUUUUCGUCUUCCAAGUCACUUUCUUAUAGGAACGUGGAAAACUUUUGCGCAGGUGAUUCUCUUAACUAAUCCUUCUUCCCUGGUAUUUUAAUAAAUUAAACAACAUUAUGAAUAUCGAACCAUGAAAUGAUA
rnacentral:misc_RNA from 1 species